UACGUAGGGUGCGAGCGUUGUCCGGAAUUAUUGGGCGUAAAGAGCUUGUAGGCGGUUUGUCGCGUCUGCCGUGAAAAUCCGGGGCUCAACCCCGGACUUGCGGUGGGUACGGGCAGACUAGAGUGUGGUAGGGGAGACUGGAAUUCCUGGUGUAGCGGUGAAAUGCGCAGAUAUCAGGAGGAACACCGAUGGCGAAGGCAGGUCUCUGGGCCACUACUGACGCUGAGAAGCGAAAGCGUGGGGAGCAAACAGG
rnacentral:rRNA from 1 species